rnacentral:rRNA from 1 species
CCUUGCAAGUAGGGCAAGACAGAGGCCGACGAGUAUAUAUCAUCUCGAAACGUCGGACCACUCGAGUUUUAAGUGUUUCGUGUUAGGAGAGGCAAAGAGGUUGUGGUUCAGAGAGAGAGGGGGCGGGGGAGGAAGUUGUUAACACGAAGUACACGAGGUCGAGGGCCGCCCGAGUCGUCAGCCCGCGCGAAACACACGAGCUCGAGGUGGCAUGUUCCUAGGUACACUAAAGACCGUGACCCUUGAUCUCAUGCACCUAGUAGAACAACCAUGUUCACAGGAACAACCACGAAUACGGGAACUACGUUACCAACGCCGUGUCCUAUCUUCCCUUGUCGAUGUUGCGCGUUUUUUUGUCACACUUUUCUUACGUACACGGUUCUCACCGUUGUAACCUCCGUCCUGUUUAAUGUCAGUCUCGUUACACCGUUGGUAAUGCUUCGUGGUUCGAAUAUGCUACAAUCCUGAUCCCUCUGUUUAACAAAAGUACGACUUCGACAACUGCCGAUCACAUUACCACAACACACACAACGACUAACACUUCUUUAUCAUAUAAACACUAGCAUAGUUCCGCUAAUAGUACCAGUGUACAUUAUUAUCGAAUUAUUCUUCUCCACAAGAUUGUACUAUGGAGAAUGUGGGGGGCCGGGGGUGGGGAGAAAAUUGUACUGUCC